GAUGAACGCUGGCGGCGUGCCUAAUACAUGCAAGUCGAGCGAACAGACGAGGAGCUUGCUCCUCUGACGUUAGCGGCGGACGGGUGAGUAACACGUGGAUAACCUACCUAUAAGACUGGGAUAACUUCGGGAAACCGGAGCUAAUACCGGAUAAUAUAUUGAACCGCAUGGUUCAAUAGUGAAAGACGGUUUUGCUGUCACUUAUAGAUGGAUCCGCGCCGCAUUAGCUAGUUGGUAAGGUAACGGCUUACCAAGGCAACGAUGCGUAGCCGACCUGAGAGGAUGAUCGGCCACAAUGGAACUGAGACACGGUCCAGACUCCUACGGGAGGCAGCAGUAGGGAAUCUUCGGCAAUGGGCGAAAGCUUGACGUAGCAACGCCGCGUGAGUGAAGAAGGUCUUCGGAUCGUAAAACUCUGUUAUUAGGGAAGAACAAAUGUGUAAGUAACUAUGCACGUCUUGACGGUACCUAAUCAGAAAGCCACGGCUAACUAAGUG
rnacentral:rRNA from 1 species